GCCAGACUCCUACGGGAGGCAGCAGUGAGGAAUAUUGGUCAAUGGCCGCAGGGCUGAACCAGCCAAGUCGCGUGAGGGAUGACGGUCCUAUGGAUUGUAAACCUCUUUUGUCAGGGAGCAACGCCGGCUACGUGUAGCCGGACUGAGAGUACCUGAAGAAAAAGCAUCGGCUAACUCCGUGCCAGCAGCCGCGGUAAUACGGAGGAUGCGAGCGUUAUCCGGAUUUAUUGGGUUUAAAGGGUGCGUAGGCGGAAUAUCAAGUCAGCGGUAAAAAUUCGGGGCUCAACCCCGUCGUGCCGUUGAAACUGAUGUUCUUGAGUGGGCGAGAAGUAUGCGGAAUGCGUGGUGUAGCGGUGAAAUGCAUAGAUAUCACGCAGAACUCCGAUUGCGAAGGCAGCAUACCGGCGCCCAACUGACGCUGAAGCACGAAAGCGUGGGUAUCGAACAGGAUUAGAUACCCUUGUA
rnacentral:rRNA from 1 species